rnacentral:tRNA from 1 species
GCGCCUGUAGCUCAGUGGAUAGAGCACCGGCCUCCGGAGCCGGGUGCGUUGGUUCGAUUCCAAUCAGGCGUGCCA